rnacentral:rRNA from 1 species
AACGAACGCUGGCGGCAGGCCUAACACAUGCAAGUCGAACGGACAUCUUCUGCUUUUAUCGGCUGCCGGGGGAGUAACCCGUUGGAACGUGCCCUUUUCUUCUGCAUUGCCUCGUGAAACUAGGUGUAAUACCGGAUGUACCCUUCGGGUGGAAGAUUUAUCUGCAAAGUAUCGGCCCGCGUUGUUUUAGGUAUUUGGUAGGGGAAUGGCCUACCAAGCCGACGAUCCAUAGCUGGUUUGAGAGGAGGCUCAGCCACAAUGGGAAUGAGGCACGGACCAGAAUGGUAGGGGGGGGAGGAGAGGGGAAUCCUAGAGACGGGGGGAAAACCUGAUCAAGCCAUGCGGGGUGAGAGGUGAAGGCGUUAGGGUUGUAAAGCUCUUUCAGAGGGGAAGAUAGUGACGGUAACCGGAGAAGAAGCCCCGGCUAACUACGUG